rnacentral:rRNA from 1 species
UACGUAGGGGGCAAGCGUUAUCCGGAUUUACUGGGUGUAAAGGGAGCGUAGACGGUACGCCAAGUCUGAAGUGAAAUGCCGCAGCUUAACUGCGGAACUGCUUUGGAAACUGGCGGGCUUGAGUGCCGGAGAGGCAAGCGGAAUUCCUAGUGUAGCGGUGAAAUGCGUAGAUAUUAGGAGGAACACCAGUGGCGAAGGCGGCUCUCUGGUCUGCAACUGACGCUGAGGCUCGAAAGCAUGGGUAGCGAACAGG